UGAUCGGGCUCGGGGAUCCUCCCACCCUUUGUGUACCUACCUCUGUUGCUUUGGCGGGCCGCGGUCCUCCGCGGCCGCCCCCCUCCCCGGGGGGGUGGCCAGCGCCCGCCAGAGGACCAUCAAACUCCAGUCAGUAAACGAUGCAGUCUGAAAAACAUUUAAUAAACUAAAACUUUCAACAACGGAUCUCUUGGUUCUGGCAUCGAUGAAGAACGCAGCGAAAUGCGAUAAGUAAUGUGAAUUGCAGAAUUCAGUGAAUCAUCGAAUCUUUGAACGCACAUUGCGCCCUUUGGUAUUCCGAAGGGCAUGCCUGUUCGAGCGUCAUUACAACCCUCAAGCUCUGCUUGGUAUUGGGCACCGUCCUUUGCGGGCGCGCCUCAAAGACCUCGGCGGUGGCGUCUUGCCUCAAGCGUAGUAGAACAUACAUCUCGCUUCGGAGCGCAGGGCGUCGCCCGCCGGACGAACCUUCUGAACUUUUCUCAAGGUUGACCUCGGAUCAGGUAGGGAUACCCGCUGAACUUAAGCAUAUCAAUAAGCGGAGGAA
rnacentral:rRNA from 1 species